AUCGACAAGCACGAUUACGACACCAAGAUGAAGGCCGUGGUCCGGUUCUUCGAGGAGGGCGACAAGGUCAAGGUGACCCUGCGCUUCCGUGGCCGCGAGAUGGCGCACCAGGAUAUCGGCCUGCGCCUUCUCGAACGGGUGAAGAACGAGACCCAGGAGAUCGCCAAGGUGGAAAGCGAACCGAUGCUCGAAGGCCGCCAGAUGAUUAUGAUCCUGGCGCCGCGCUAAGGCGCGUUCGCAUCGUCGUCGCACGAUCCACGCCGCUUUCCUUCGGAAGGCGGCGUUUUUCGUGUGUCGUGUUUCAUCAACGGCCCCGCCGUUGAUCGCAGA
rnacentral:misc_RNA from 1 species